GACAGAGGGCCCAAGCGUUAUGCGGAAUCACUGGGCUUAAAGCGUGUGUAGGCGGACUUCUAAGUACCUUGUGAAAUCCCACGGCUCAACCGUGGAACUGCUUGGUAUACUGGUUGUCUUGGGCCAUCUAGGGGCUAGCGGAACAAACGGUGGAGCGGUGAAAUGCGUAGAUAUCGUUUGGAACGCCAAUGGUGAAAACAGCUAGCUGGGGAUGUGCCGACGCUGAGACACGAAAGCCAGGGGAGCGAACGGG
rnacentral:rRNA from 1 species